AGGGUUCGCGAGGAUUGCCAGGCCCAGCAGGGCCUCCUGGUAACAUUGGAUUGCAGGGUCCCCGAGGAUUAAGCGGAGACGUUGGACCAAUCGGUCUUAUUGGCGACAGGGGAGACAUCGGAUUCAGAGGGCAGCCUGGAAUUCCAGGGCCUCCAGGGAA